rnacentral:rRNA from 1 species
GAUGAACGCUCGCUCCAGGCUUAACACAUGCAAGUCGAGGGGAAACGAUGAGAGAGCUUGCUCUCUUAGGCGUCGACCGGCGCACGGGUGAGUAACGCGUAUCCAACCUACCCAUUACAGGGGGAUAACCUUGCGAAAGUAAGACUAAUACCCCAUGGCAUUUUAUGGUGGCAUCAUUAUAGGAUUAAAGAUUUAUUGGUAAUGGAUGGGGAUGCGUCUGAUUAGCUUGUUGGCGGGGUAACGGCCCACCAAGGCAACGAUCAGUAGGGGUUCUGAGAGGAAGGUCCCCCACAUUGGAACUGAGACACGGUCCAAACUCCUACGGGAGGCAGCAGUGAGGAAUAUUGGGCAAUGGGCGAGAGCUUGAACCAGCCAAGUAGCGUGCAGGAUGACGGCCCUAUGGGUUGUAAACUGCUUUUAUAGGGGAAUAAAGUGAGCUACGUGUAGUUUAUUGCAUGUACCCUAUGAAUAAGGACCGGCUAAUUCCGUG